GGUUUUAUGAUUUUGUUAUCAGUAUUCCACAUCAUAACGUCAUGGAAAGUACGGGGAAUUAAACAGUUAAUACUCCAGUUCUGUGGACUGACAACUUUCUAGAUACAUGGUUCUCAGAAGAGAAGAACUACACACUCCAGAGGACUUCAGGUUCAGAGAGCAAGAUACCUCAGAGGGGAAGACACAUGAUGCUCUCUCACUGCCUGGCAGUGUAUGGGUGUGCUCCUCAGCCUGCGCCUUCAGUUCAGAGUAUUCUCUGCUGGAAAAGGGAUGCAGAAAUACAAUGAACAGGAAAGCACUGGGAAAUGUCAGCUAAUAGAAAAAGAUUUGUUCUCGCUAGGCAGGUUUUGUCUCCUCUCUGUCUCAAUAUUUAAGCUGGAGAAAUGGCACUUCCCUGCCUUGAGAAAACCAAACCAAACAAAGAAACAAACAAAUAAAUAAAUAAAAACCAAAAAGCAUGAAAGACUGAUUGAUUUUCAGAGGCUGCAACAAAUGUCCUUAAGAGCAAUACAAUUCACAUAAGCUCAGUCAAACCAAGCAAGGAAUCUUCCCCUGUCCAGCAUUGCUUGGGCAAGCAGUGAAGUGGUAUUGAUUUUUGAUUUCUUGCUAUUUUUAUUACUAUUUUUCAUUUCAGUCCCUGAAGAUCCAUCCCACCUAUCUGUCCAAUAAUUCUGUGUCCCUGAGGAAUAUUCUAAACCUGUUUCUUUUUUAAUCAUGCAUCUAAACAACUCUGACAGAAGUCAAGACUGAAGUUUGACUAAGUUUUUAGGUGAGAAUUUAAAUUUGUGCUAAAGAAAAUUAUUAUUGAUUGUAACGUGUUUCUGUCCUUUUGGUUGUUUUCUUUGUUUAAUUUAUUCUUUUUUUCCCAUGUUUUUUCUUUAUUCAUGUGGCACGCCCCUACUGAAUGUAAGAAUUAACCUUCAACAUCUCUGAUGUGGUGAGCAACCAGUCUAUAAUGUUCCUCCAGACAUUCUGCUUUUUUUCAGUCCUUCCCUUUAAAUAUAGCAUGUGGUAAAGGAGCCUCACUAUGGCUUGGAAAAGGACAAGAGCAGAAGUCCAGCAGUUAAAAAUAAAUUCAAAAAAGAAAGCUGUGCCUUUGACUCCAAGUGUCCAAGGCAGAUUCUAUGAGAUAAAAAUACUUCUGAUACUAAGCCAAAUAAUACAAAAGGAUUACCUAAGAAUAUGUUACGAUUUUUAAAUUGCUCUGCAUGUGUUACUUCCUGGAGACACUGUAAGGAGAAAAGUGAGUUAGCAGAUUUUUCUAAAAUUCCAGCAGUGUCAAAUAAAAGAGGCUUUGCAUUAUCCACAAAUGCAGGCUGUGCCAGGGUUUGAACUGUUCUUUUAAAUGUUUGCAAAGUUAACAAAUGGCUUGGAAACAUGGAAAGAUGUAGUGAGCCAGUAUUUUAGCUGGGGUAAAUCACUUAUGUCUUAAAUUUCUGUGGGCGGUUUCCUAGAAAUCCAACUGCAAAUACAUAGGGGAUGUAAUCUGUUCAAAACUUUCAUUUUUUUCAAUUAAGAGUACACUAUGAAGUAUACAUGAGAACUUUUCAAUUUGUUUCUAAAACUGACCAUCUAGAGACGUGUACGAGUGAGGACUUUUUACUUUUGCAAUCAAAAAUUAUAAGUCUUCUAUCAUCACUGAUACGUUGUAUAAUGUCUUUAGGAUUGCUUUGCUUUGUAGUAUUUAUUGUGUAGAAAACUGUAAUCACUGUGUAACUUUUGAAAUGGACAUAAUGUCUGGACAUUAGUACCAUUUGGCUGAACACUAGAGCCACAUCUAGCUAAAAAGUGUCAUCACUGUAUGCUGCAGCAGGGUGAUGUUAGUCCCCAGUUUGCAACUUAGCUCCUCAGCGCUGCUUUCAUGGAAGAGCAGCAUGGCUAUCUUGCUUGGGGUUGUAAAGCUAAAGUGAUUCCCGCUGGAAAGGAUAUUACUGUUCUAUGGUCCACUGGGAGCCAUAGAUAUACCUUGGGAUAUUCUCUCUCUCU
rnacentral:lncRNA from 1 species